rnacentral:rRNA from 1 species
AUUGAACGCUGGCGGCAGGCUUAACACAUGCAAGUCGAGCGAGCGGCGGACGGGUGAGUAAUGUCUGGGAAACUGCCUGAUGGUGGGGGAUAACUACCGGAAACGGUAGCUAAUACCGCAUACCAUCAGAUGUGCCCAGAUGGGUUUAGCUAGUUGGUGGGGUAAGGGCUCACCUAGGCGACGAUCCCUAGCUGGUCGGAGAGGAUGACAAGCCACACUGGAACUGAGACACGGUCCAGACUCCUACGGGAGGCAGCAGUGGGGAAUGUUGCACAAUGGGAGCAAGCCUGAUGCAGCCAUGCCGAGUGUGUGAAGGAGGCAUUCGGGUUGUAAAGCUCUUUCAGCGAGGAGGCGUUACUCGAAGAAGAAGCACCGGCUAACUCCGUGCCAGCAGCCGCGGUAAUAC